GCGAACGGGUGAGUAACACGUGAGCAACCUGCCUUUCAAUGGGGGACAACAUUUGGAAACGAAUGCUAAUACCGCAUAAGACCACAGUGUCGCAUGGCACAGGGGUCAAAGGAUUUAUCCGCUGAAAGAUGGGCUCGCGUCCGAUUAGCUAGAUGGUGAGGUAACGGCCCACCAUGGCGACGAUCGGUAGCCGGACUGAGAGGUUGAACGGCCACAUUGGGACUGAGACACGGCCCAGACUCCUACGGGAGGCAGCAGUGGGGAAUAUUGCACAAUGGGGGAAACCCUGAUGCAGCGACGCCGCGUGGAGGAAGAAGGUCUUCGGAUUGUAAACUCCUGUCCCAGGGGACGAUAAUGACGGUACCCUGGGAGGAAGCACCGGCUAACUACGUGCCAGCAGCCGCGGUAAAACGUAGGGUGCAAGCGUUGUCCGGAAUUACUGGGUGUAAAGGGAGCGCAGGCGGAUUGGCAAGUUGGGAGUGAAAUCUAUGGGCUCAACCCAUAAAUUGCUUUCAAAACUGUCAGUCUUGAGUGGUGUAGAGGUAGGCGGAAUUCCCGGUGUAGCGGUGGAAUGCGUAGAUAUCGGGAGGAACACCAGUGGCGAAGGCGGCCUACUGGGCACUAACUGACGCUGAGGCUCGAAAGCAUGGGUAGCAAACAGGAUUAGAUACCCUGGUAGUCCAUGCCGUAAACGAUGAUUACUAGGUGUGGGAGGAUUGACCCCUUCCGUGCCGCAGUUAACACAAUAAGUAAUCCACCUGGGGAGUACGACCGCAAGGUUGAAACUCAAAGGAAUUGACGGGGGCCCGCACAAGCAGUGGAGUAUGUGGUUUAAUUCGAAGCAACGCGAAGAACCUUACCAGGUCUUGACAUCGGAUGCAUACCUAAGAGAUUAGGGAAGUCCUUCGGGACAUCCAGACAGGUGGUGCAUGGUUGUCGUCAGCUCGUGUCGUGAGAUGUUGGGUUAAGUCCCGCAACGAGCGCAACCCUUAUCGUUAGUUACUACGCAAGAGGACUCUAGCGAGACUGCCGUUGACAAAACGGAGGAAGGUGGGGAUGACGUCAAAUCAUCAUGCCCUUUAUGACCUGGGCUACACACGUACUACAAUGGCUAUUAACAGAGAGAAGCGAUACCGCGAGGUGGAGCAAACCUCACAAAAAUAGUCUCAGUUCGGAUCGCAGGCUGCAACCCGCCUGCGUGAAGCCGGAAUUGCUA
rnacentral:rRNA from 1 species